ensembl:snRNA U6 U6 spliceosomal RNA
GUGCUCGCUUCGGCAGCACAUAUACUAAAAAAUUGGAACGAUACAGAGAAGAUUAGCAUGGCCCCUGCGCAAGGAUG